rnacentral:tRNA from 1 species
GUUUUUGUAGUUGAAAACAACAGCGGUUUUUCGUAUCGCAGGUUCUGGUUUAAAGUCCGGGCAAAAACU